UCUUCACUUUCUGCCAUGUGUGUGAUGUUAUCUGCAUAUCUGAGGUUAUUGAUAUUUCUCCCGGCAAUCUUGAUUCCAGCCUGUGCUUUAUCUAAUAAUAUUUAUGGAAUGCCUGCUGCCUGUUACCUACAUGGCAAUAAAAAAUGGUCAAAAAUACAGAUUUGUUGCUUGAGCUCACAGAGCUUAUGUUCUUAAAUUAGCAAACAGUAACUUGCUAGUGAAAUUUAUUCUGUGUAUUAUAUAUAUAUAUAUAUAUGUAAGUUUUAAAAAUCAUGUUACUGUACCCAAGAUAUUUUUCUACCAGUUUUAGUCUCUAAAGGAUUUGACCGGUGGUACAUAGAUUUUAAUUGUGCCAAAUGUGGAUUAGUGUUAUUCAGUCUGAAUUUUUAUUUAGUGCUAACCACAUGCAGUGUACUCCCUCAUGAAUGCAAGAUAAGGAAGCCAGAAGACUAAAUGUUUCGUUACCUUAUGACAUCUUGAACUUUACCCUGGGCAACAGGAACCAGAAGGUUUAUGGAAUAGUUUAAAACUAGCAGGAUUCCAAAAUAAUGGUCAAAACUGCUCAUUUAGUUUUUGAGAAUAAAGUUUUUAUCUAUGUGCAUGUGUGCUCAGUUGUAUCCAACUUUGCAUCCCCACAAACCAUAGCCUGCCAGGCUUCUCUGUCCCUGGGGUUGCCCAGCAAGAAUACUGGAGUGGGUUACUGUUUCCUUCUCCAGGGUAUCUUCCUAAGCCAGGGAUCAAGCCUGUGUCUCCUGCAUUGACAGGCGAUUCUUUACUGCUGAGCCACCAGGGAAGACUCUUUUUAUCUACAUGUAUUAUCAACUAGUUAUGUUGAAAGCAUUUUUAUGAAAGGCAAUAAUAGAGAAUGUGUCAAGAUGAGAGUAGGAGAAAUACAGGAUAAAUAUAAAACCAAGUUAUUUUUCUUGAACCUCUUUGCAUAGCUGCCAUACAAAAGGAACCAUUGGAAAACAACUAUGUUUAUCAUAUGCUUAUAUUUUGGUUUUACUUGCUUUCCCUGUUUUCUCCAAAUCAAUAAUAUUCAGAUAAAAGCAAUAAUAAAAUGAUGACAAUGUAUAAAAAUUACAGGCAGUAUUUUGUACCAGGCUCUAUUUUAAGCACUAUUGUACAGCCUUCCAGUGUCUAUAUGAUGCUGAGGGGGAUAAUCCAAUUUGAAAUCAAGAUAAGGACAGUUUUUAACUUAACAAUGUAACCAUUUCUUUUUAAAACAAGUUGUAGUAUUAAUUUACCAAGAUCACUCUCAAAAAUUAAGUCAACUAAUAUAUUAGGAGCCUGGAUAAAUAAUAUGACACUAGAAUUUAAAUUUCAGCAUCUUAUUAGAAAGUAAAAAGUUUAUUAGAAAACUUGAAAAGUUAUUUUACUAGAAAAAAUAUAUCCAUCCAAUGGCCGCCUAAUUAAAGAUGAAGCAGAAAGAAGAGAGGUCAGAAGUGGGAAUAAAGAAUCAACCUGGAAGAUGGUCUUAGGGUUUCUGUGUGUGGAGAAAAGAAAAGAAGUCAUGUUUUUGAAUAUCCAUUGUUAGUCAGUGAAUGUCCUAUACCCCAGUGAGGUCAGAAGGCACUUGUUUGGACAGUAGGUUAUAUAUCCACUGUGACUGAAGUGUUCAAUGGACUACAACAUCCUUUUCAUAAAAUGUGAAAACUAUUUCUGCACUUGGCCCACAUUCUCUGUGUAUCUCUUUCUGAUAAAUAAGUUACUGUGUUCUCUAUCUCACAUUCUGUAGCUUCAUGCUCGUUUGUCAAAGAUACCUAUUGUUAAGCUUUUACUGAAAGGCUGUUAGUUGUAAUAAGCACAGUAUGAAUAACUCAGCUGUGUUAUCAGAAACAGAACAGCCUAGUAUGUUUUUUUUUUAAUUUUGUUGUUUGAUUUUUAUUUUAAUUUUUUAUAAGGUUGAUUUAUUGGCCUAUAGUAAAGUAUGAUGCACUUGAUGGCUCCCAAGCCUAACUGAAUUCAGUUUUAACUGCAAAUUUCAGACAUAAAGGAGCUGACACUGGGGAAUAAACAUUCUAUCAAUAUGUUUCACAAUUAUGGGAUCGACUACUUUUCUUAAUUUGGGAGAUGAACAUUCUUAAGUUGAAGAUCCUUAUUUCAUAUCAAUUUAUUACAUGUGAUUUUUUUUUUUCCUGUACUUGAAUUGUGUUUUAUAGCAGCUAAUAUGUUAGCAGUACUGUCUAGGGUGAAUUAUCUUAAAGUGGUUUCUAAAUUGUGCAUGUAAUUGCAAAUUAAACAGUAGCCGAUUGCCCACAA